rnacentral:lncRNA from 1 species
UUUCUUUUUUCUUGUUUGCACUGACCAUGCUUUUAAGUUUUUGAGCGUGGCAGAGUUUGAAAAUGCAUUUCGUUUUUAAUCUGCCGGUUUUUAUCAAGUGAUAUCGACAUAACGUGUACAUUCAGGAUUAAACUGGACUAACUUAGCCUCUUGAACAUUCAGGAUUAAUACUACAAAACUCAUCAUGUGGAUUUAUGCUCCUACUAGUACCAGGUUAACAGGGAACCUAUGUAAACAUUCAGGAACACUGAACACCUCCUGGAUUUCAAUUAAGAAAAAAGAAACAUGCAUCUUCAACAACAUCCAGGAGUGCUCCAUGAGACCAUGAAACAAUUAUGUUUGCCAGAUUAGGCUGUAUCAUCCUAGUCGAGCUAGGGUGCUCAACCAACCAGUACCAGUACUCCAUGACCAUGCAUGAACCACAAGCUAUGCCUGCAUGCCGGGAACUAAAUUGAGUUAAUGUGCUAAUGGUCAGAUUGGCCAUGUAGCCUUAGCUGUAGUAGCUAGUGGCUAGGGUUUUGAAAACGAGCUAGUCAUAUCUUGGGAAUGUUGGAACAGAUAUGGCUGCACCAUUGACCCCUUGUUCGCGACAUGUAUGGCCUGGCCAGGCCAGCAGGGUUAAUUGCUGCAGAGGAGGAAGCAGCUCGGCUUGGUGUGGCAAGUUAAGGAUGCGUGCUGACUUCCAUGGAAGCGCACGCACUUCCCCGAGAGGACCUAGCCACCUAGUAAACGCUUAGCUAGCCUGCUGAUCUAGCCAUCAGUCCAAGUCUGAGCAUGUUGACUACAAGCACCGUGCUAUAUCUGCUACGAGUGUGACUCGCAAGUUUACCUACUGCACGAGAGGUUACCUACCUCUGUAGCAGCUACGUACAUUGCUGCAGCAUACAGUAUCCCACGAGCAAAGUUGCAGAACAAUGCAAGAUCAAAAGCAGGGAUGAUCGAUUUGGCAUGAGCUCCUGGGUUAUUUCCCAAAGGACAGGGAGGAUACCCGCAUGAUUUUUUGUCGUCCAUAUUUCAACAACUAUAUUGUGGCUUAAGUGGCUAUCAGUCUCAAUAGGAAAGUGCUUGCAUGGUUAAAAUGUACAAGUUGUUACGCGA